rnacentral:rRNA from 1 species
CCUACGGGAGGCAGCAGUGAGGAAUAUUGGUCAAUGGACGAGAGUCUGAACCAGCCAAGUAGCGUGAAGGAUGACUGCCCUAUGGGUUGUAAACUUCUUUUAUAUGGGAAUAAAAUGUUCCACGUGUGGGAUUUUGUAUGUACCAUAUGAAUAAGGAUCGGCUAACUCCGUGCCAGCAGCCGCGGUAAUACGGAGGAUCCGAGCGUUAUCCGGAUUUAUUGGGUUUAAAGGGAGCGUAGGUGGAUUGUUAAGUCAGUUGUGAAAGUUUGCGGCUCAACCGUAAAAUUGCAGUUGAAACCGGCAGUCUUGAGUACAGUAGAGGUGGGCGGAAUUCGUGGUGUAGCGGUGGAAUGCUUAGAUAUCACGAAGAACUCCGAUUGCGAAGGCAGCUCACUGGACUGCAACUGACACUGAGGCUCGAAAGUGUGGGUAUCAAACAGGAUUAGAUACCCGGGUAGUC